rnacentral:rRNA from 1 species
GACGAACGCUGGCGGCGUGCUUAACACAUGCAAGUCGAACGGAAAGGCCCUGCUUUUGUGGGGUGCUCGAGUGGCGAACGGGUGAGUAACACGUGAGUAACCUGCCCUAGACUUUGGGAUAACUUCAGGAAACUGGGGCUAAUACCGGAUAGGAGCUCCUGCUGCAUGGUGGGGGUUGGAAAGUUUCGGCGGUUGGGGAUGGACUCGCGGCUUAUCAGCUUGUUGGUGGGGUAGUGGCUUACCAAGGCUUUGACGGGUAGCCGGCCUGAGAGGGUGACCGGCCACAUUGGGACUGAGAUACGGCCCAGACUCCUACGGGAGGCAGCUGUGGGGAAUAUUGCACAAUGGGCGGAAGCCUGAUGCAGCAACGCCGCGUGCGGGAUGACGGCCUUCGGGUUGUAAACCGCUUUCGCCUGUGACGAAGCGUGAGUGACGGUAAUGGGUAAAGAAGCACCGGCUAACUACGUG